CCCGCUCGCCGGAAGACCAAGGGUUCCUGUCCAACGUUAAUCGGGGCAGGGUGAGUCGACCCCUAAGGCGAGGCCGAAAGGCGUAGUCGAUGGGAAACAGGUUAAUAUUCCUGUACUUGGUGUUACUGCGAAGGGGGGACGGAGAAGGCUAUGUUGGCCGGGCGACGGUUGUCCCGGUUUAAGCGUGUAGGCUGGUUUUCCAGGCAAAUCCGGAAAAUCAAGGCUGAGGCGUGAUGACGAGGCACUACGGUGCUGAAGCAACAAAUGCCCUGCUUCCAGGAAAAGCCUCUAAGCAUCAGGUAACAUCAAAUCGUACCCCAAACCGACACAGGUGGUCAGGUAGAGAAUACCAAGGCGCUUGAGAGAACUCGGGUGAAGGAACUAGGCAAAAUGGUGCCGUAACUUCGGGAGAAGGCACGCUGAUAUGUAGGUGAAGCGACUUGCUCGUGGAGCUGAAAUCAGUCGAAGAUACCAGCUGGCUGCAACUGUUUAUUAAAAACACAGCACUGUGCAAACACGAAAGUGGACGUAUACGGUGUGACGCCUGCCCGGUGCCGGAAGGUUAAUUGAUGGGGUCAGCGCAAGCGAAGCUCUUGAUCGAAGCCCCGGUAAACGGCGGCCGUAACUAUAACGGUCCUAAGGUAGCGAAAUUCCUUGUCGGGUAAGUUCCGACCUGCACGAAUGGCGUAAUGAUGGCCAGGCUGUCUCCACCCGAGACUCAGUGAAAUUGAACUCGCUGUGAAGAUGCAGUGUACCCGCGGCAAGACGGAAAGACCCCGUGAACCUUUACUAUAGCUUGACACUGAACAUUGAGCCUUGAUGUGUAGGAUAGGUGGGAGGCUUUGAAGUGUGGACGCCAGUCUGCAUGGAGCCGACCUUGAAAUACCACCCUUUAAUGUUUGAUGUUCUAACGUUGACCCGUAAUCCGGGUUGCGGACAGUGUCUGGUGGGUAGUUUGACUGGGGCGGUCUCCUCCUAAAGAGUAACGGAGGAGCACGAAGGUUGGCUAAUCCUGGUCGGACAUCAGGAGGUUAGUGCAAUGGCAUAAGCCAGCUUGACUGCGAGCGUGACGGCGCGAGCAGGUGCGAAAGCAGGUCAUAGUGAUCCGGUGGUUCUGAAUGGAAGGGCCAUCGCUCAACGGAUAAAAGGUACUCCGGGGAUAACAGGCUGAUACCGCCCAAGAGUUCAUAUCGACGGCGGUGUUUGGCACCUCGAUGUCGGCUCAUCACAUCCUGGGGCUGAAGUAGGUCCCAAGGGUAUGGCUGUUCGCCAUUUAAAGUGGUACGCGAGCUGGGUUUAGAACGUCGUGAGACAGUUCGGUCCCUAUCUGCCGUGGGCGCUGGAGAACUGAGGGGGGCUGCUCCUAGUACGAGAGGACCGGAGUGGACGCAUCACUGGUGUUCGGGUUGUCAUGCCAAUGGCACUGCCCGGUAGCUAAAUGCGGAAGAGAUAAGUGCUGAAAGCAUCUAAGCACGAAACUUGCCCCGAGAUGAGUUCUCCCUGACUCCUUGAGAGUCCUGAAGGAACGUUGAAGACGACGACGUUGAUAGGCCGGGUGUGUAAGCGCAGCGAUGCGUUGAGCUAACCGGUACUAAUGAACCGUGAGGCUUAACCUU
rnacentral:rRNA from 1 species